rnacentral:rRNA from 1 species
UACGGGGGGGGCAAGCGUUGCUCGGAAUUACUGGGCGUAAAGGGCUCGUAGGUGGCCAACUAAGUCAUACGUGAAAUCCCUCGGCUUAACCGGGGAACUGCGUCUGAUACUGGAUGGCUUGAGGUUGGGAGAGGGAUGCGGAAUUCCAGGUGUAGCGGUGAAAUGCGUAGAUAUCUGGAGGAACACCGGUGGCGAAGGCGGCAUCCUGGACCAAUUCUGACACUGAGGAGCGAAAGCCAGGGGAGCAAACGGG